CCAAUCAGGUUGCAACAGUAACUCUCAAGUCCCACUUUUCACCACAGCCGUCGGAUACGAUAAUUGUUUUCUCACUUUAUGAUCUUCCGAACAAGUCAAUGACGUAUGGGACCAGCUACCCGUGGGGGCCGCCGGUCGGAGGCAGCCACGCUCGCUCGUCCGCGUCUGUCCGCCAGAGGUGAGAGAAUCUAGAUCGAAGGAGCUCCCCAAUCCUGGCCUCGCUCCUCGCUCCCCAAUCCCCGUCCCUCUUUUCCCCAAACCGCCAGAGGUGAGAGAAUCUCCUGCAGUGAGCUCCGAUGGAGGCGGCGACCAGCGGGUGGAGGUGAGGCGGGAGCGGCCGGAGACGGGAUCGCGCGGGGCGGAUCCACGGCGGCGACUGGAGGCUCCGGACACGGCCGGAGACGGGCCGGCGUGGGGUGGAUCUGCUCUGGCGACGACCGGAGGCGACGUGCUCGCGCGGGGCGGAUCCGCCACACUUUGGCUCACGCGACUCACUCGAUUCCCUUCCCAUUCCGCCGGCAGGCCUUCCGCCGCCCCAGCCCACCACCGGCCGCUCCUCCCCUCCGUCGUCCCUCUUCACCUGCUGGGUCCUCGCGGCUGGACGUCGUGGCCGUACUGGUGGAGCCGUCCAGCGGCGUCGCCGGCGCCGUGAUGUUGACCACUGCAGCAGCCUGAGAAGAGAGGCCGGAUGCACUGGUGAUGGUCGCCACUCUCCGGCUGCAGGCGAGGCGACAUGCUGCUGCACUCCACCUCCCCAACGAGCUGCUGCCCGUGAGGUUCAAAUCGUGUCGGGGGAGGAGGAGCCCAAGGACGCGAGGUGUGGUUACCGGGAGACCGCCUCGUGUGGUGUUCCGGUGUUUGUGGUGCCCUCCGGUGGUGAUGUCCACCGGAGCUCCUGAUGCUGCUCUCGUCGAAUGGCAACGGUGAUGCCAUGAACGGGCUGCUGUUGGUUGAACCGCUGCCACGACAAGGAGGAUCAAGCUCAUCUCCUGAAGUCAGGUCUGCGUCUUGCUGGUCUUGUAUGGUAUUUUUCUCUGGCUGGCUCAAGUGCACGCAUAGAAGGUACUCGUGGUCUCCGCAUCUGAUAGCAUGUAUUGUGAGUAUAAAAAACUGGGAGUGGUUUGUGCUAUUCUUAGGAGUAGAAUAGCUGGGCUCUCAAAAUAAAAAGGAAUAGCAUUACUGGGACAGACAUGAGCAUGGGUGAACGCAAGCAGCUGCCUGGAGGCGGCGGUGGAUGGAUGACACAUUGCAAAGAAGGUUGUUCUCUGAAGCCUUUUGAAUGAGGGAACUCGGUCAUUUCUUCUGCAUCAUCAUUGCAGGUUCCUAUUACACAGAGAGUGAAGUUCAAAUUUGUUGGAUUGAUUGGUGUGUCCCGGAUGGUACCACCGCUAGGGUCUCCCGAAGGCGGAAAUCAAGCAUGUGCAAUGUAUUUCAUUGUCACAAUAAUUGGUUCAUUUUCUAUUAUAAAAACAUAAGGGGUUGUUUGGAAGAAAAGGCAGGAGGAGAAUAAUAUCACUAAUUUUUGGAUCUUCCAACAUUUGUCGCACGAGUCUUUUCUUAUUUUUUAUAUCUUAGGAGGCUGUGCGCGUGGCGACCGACAACGAGCAUGGACAAGCUGCGAUGUUACAGUUUAUGAUGUGUAAUCUGAUUGGGUGCCUUCAAAUUCUCACUCCCUGCCGAUGUUUGAUGCUGCUGCUCCUUUCCUACAUGAGGUUCCUAACGAGAUGCAGCCUCAGUUCGCUGUCGACGUAAUGGUCCAGUUCGGUCUACCUCGCUGGAUAUUUCACACCAAAGGGUUUGGAUGUCCAUGAGGUUCUUACAGAAACUGCGACAACAGCUAUCAUUGGCGUUUCAUGGAGCUCAUCGAUGCUGCAGGAUGCAGAGGACCACCUGCAGAUGUGUUUUUAGAUAAUGGCCUACAUGUGCUUAGCAGGAAGUAUGAACUAUGAGGUGGAAAGAAAAUCUCAUUGGUUUGGUUUGGUUCCUAAUUUCAGAGAGGUUCUUUCGUUUGCAGAGUUGAGGAUGUGGCACUGACAAUGGUUCUCCACACAAGUUCCAGAACUUGUGACUCUUGCCAUCAAUAGCACUAUGGGCCUCAAGAAUACCACACUUGAGGUUGGUAAUAUACCUGAUUCAAAUACCAGAAACCAGUCAUUUGGGUAGCAGAGAGCAGAAUGAAAAAUUGGCUUGCAUUCCAGGUUCCAAGGCUCGCCGGGUUUUUUUUGCUGAUAAAGAGUUGCCCUCAUGUACCUGAUCAUCUAGGCGCAGACGACGUCGCAGAAAGCUCAAGCGGAUGGACAAAGCAAGAAGAAAGCCUGGAUCAGAGUCAGAGAUAAGGAGAUUGUGAUAGCUACAGCUGAAGAGGUACGAAGAGCUGCACAAAAACUUGAGCAACAAGGACAUGCUGAUUUCUAGAUCGGACAUCCUACUUAAGUAGCCGAGCAAGUGGUGUUGCAAGGGAAUCGGUGAUCAGGACUUUGCUAUGGUCUGCGGCUGCGUGCCUGAGAAAAGGCCAUGGCUCUGGUUAUUGUAUUAUUUUUGUUUUGUUAGCGUGCUAAUUGGCUUGAAAAGGACACAUCCCAUUUUUAUGACAUAAUCUCAUAUUCCUUUAGAUUCAAAAAUUAUAUCUAUGUUGUUUUAAAACUUA